rnacentral:rRNA from 1 species
GAUGAACGCUGGCGGCGUGCCUAAUACAUGCAAGUCGAGCGAACAGACGAGGAGCUUGCUCCUCUGACGUUAGCGGCGGACGGGUGAGUAACACGUGGAUAACCUACCUAUAAGACUGGGAUAACUUCGGGAAACCGGAGCUAAUACCGGAUAAUAUAUUGAACCGCAUGGUUCAAUAGUGAAAGACGGUUUUGCUGUCACUUAUAGAUGGAUCCGCGCCGCAUUAGCUAUUUGGUAAGGUAACGGCUUACCAAGGCAACGAUGCGUAGCCGACCUGAGAGGGUGAUCGGCCACACUGGAACUGAGACACGGUCCAGACUCCUACGGGAGGCAGCAGUAGGGAAUCUUCCGCAAAGGGCGAAAGCCUGACGGAGCAACGCCGCGUGAGUGAUGAAGGUCUUCGGAUCGUAAAACUCUGUUAUUAGGGAAGAACAAAUGUGUAAGUAACUAUGCACGUCUUGACGGUACCUAAUCAGAAAGCCACGGCUAACUACGUG